AGAUAUUUAAGAUCGGCUCUACAGGAAUUAGUAGCUUGGGAGGUCACAGCUAGAAACGAACUGAAUGCAUUAACUGUUCAAGUUUAGAGGUUUCAAAUUUAUAUAUGGAAGGUUAGAGGAUUCAAAUUAAACAAGUUAGUGCAGAUUCCUGUUGCCAAAUGGCGACCCCCUCCAAAAGUUUGCAUCUCAGAAUAUAUCGUUCUCGCUGAUUAAGGAGGUUCAAUUCAAGCCUUCCCUGUUGCUAGGAAUUGGCCCAUUGAAGUUAUUGGUGCCAUCAUCGAUUCAUCACUGGUGGAAGUUACUUUUACACUCCCUCAACAGAUUUGUGUCUUGCUGCUGCUGUCAAUUUCAGUUAUGUAAGUGAUUCUUCAUAAUUUCCAUGAUUGAACUCAUUCUGAUAAAUCUUACCUGCAUCGAUAGCCAAUUUUCUGUUUAUUUAAGACUGCCAUUGUGCCACAGUUAUACUACUCCCUUAAAGCAUAUCAGGACUGUAACAAUCAGUCUAUUAUUGUCUGAGGUAAAUAUCGGUGUACUUGAGAACUGGCUGAAGGUAUAGACAAGGCUAAAUCUUUCUUUCUUGAAUUGGAUUGUAUUAACUUUAAAAAAAUAUUUGAAGAAGGAAAAAGUUUAAACUGUGUAAUUAAACUGCAGUGGGGAGAAAAAUCUGGUGUAUACACCUAAUGUACAUCUACUGCAGUCCAAACUCCAAAGGUUAAUGUCAUCUUAAUGCAGUAAGAACUAAGAUUGACAGCAAUUUGCAUGUGAAAAUAUUAGGACUUUCAAAAAAUCGCAUGUUGGCUGAACUACAUUGUCAUAUACGAAGUAUAUGUAUGUGUUAUUUGUGCAGAUGUGAAGUUUUUGAUGUGUUUGUAGCCAACAGGUAGUCAAUCUAAUAUCGGUAAGAACUAAGAAGUUCUUUCUACUCUGUCUAAGGGAAUGAACAACAUUGGUUAAGAUUAUGAUGCCUUGCAGGCUCACAGAAUCACAACAUCAUUAAAGAACAAUGGAUAUUUUGGAGACUGCAGUAUAGAAUAUUAUGCAAUAUGCUACUAAAUGAUUCAGUGGUUUUAGUUCACUCCUUCGAUCAUUCCCGAAAAGCAAAAACUAAGGUUUGCAUACCAGAAUAUACCGUUACGUUCUUGCUGACUAAGGGGGUUUCAAUUCAAGGCUUCUCCAUUUGCUAGGAAUUGGCCCAUUGAAGUUAUUGGCCCAUUGAAGCUGUAUUAGUUUGACAUGCCUGUAAUCCUGUUUUAGAUAUGCGUAAAUUUUCUUUAGAUGAAUUUUAUGAACAACUUUUGUGGCAUAUUUUUUUGGGUGAU